UACGAAGGGGGGCUAGCGUUGCUCGGAAUCACUGGGCGUAAAGCGCACGUAGGCGGCUUUCUAAGUCAGAGGUGAAAUCCCGGAGCUCAACCUUGGAACUGCCUUUGAUACUGGGGAUCUCGAGUCCGGAAGAGGUGAGUGGAACUGCGAGUGUAGAGGUGAAAUUCGUAGAUAUUCGCAAGAACACCAGUGGCGAAGGCGGCUCACUGGUCCGGUACUGACGCUGAGGUGCGAAAGCGUGGGGAGCAAACAGG
rnacentral:rRNA from 1 species